GCUGUCGUAGUUCAACGGAUAGAACGAGGGAUUCCUAAUCCCUAGAUGCAGGUCCGACUCCUGCCGAUGGCACCA
rnacentral:tRNA from 1 species